rfam:Atta colombica isolate Treedump-2 unplaced genomic scaffold scaffold207, whole genome shotgun sequence.
GCCUCGGUAGUCUAAAGGCUUAGGACGUCUCGCACGGAAUGCAAGAGAUCCGGGUUCGACUCCUGGCCGAAGUA